UAGGGAAUUUUUCACAAUGAGCGAAAGCUUGAUGGAGCAAUGCCGCGUGAACGAUGAAGGUCUUUAAGAUUGUAAAGUUCUUUUAUUUGGGAAGAAUGACUUUAGCAGGUAAUGGCUAGAGUUUGACUGUACCAUUUUGAAUAAGUGACGACUAACUAUGUGCCAGCAGUCGCGGUAAUACAUAGGUCGCAAGCGUUAUCCGGAUUUAUUGGGCGUAAAGCAAGCGCAGGCGGAUUGAAAAGUCUGGUGUUAAAGGCAGCUGCUUAACAGUUGUAUGCAUUGGAAACUAUUAAUCUAGAGUGUGGUAGGGAGUUUUGGAAUUUCAUGUGGAGCGGUGAAAUGCGUAGAUAUAUGAAGGAACACCAGUGGCGAAAGGCGAAAACUUAGGCCAUUACUGACGCUUAGGCUUGAAAGUGUGGGAAGCAAAUAGGAUUAGAUACCCUAGUAGUCCACACCGUAAACGAUAGAUACUAGCUGUCGGGGCGAUCCCCUCGGUAGUGAAGUUAACACAUUAAGUAUCUCGCCUGGGUAGUACAUUCGCAAGAAUG
rnacentral:rRNA from 1 species